rnacentral:lncRNA from 1 species
GACAUAGUUCUCUAAAUAUAUUUGUUUUGCAGGUUCAUUUGUAGUUCAUUAUAAUGAUUGUUCAGAUUCAUAGUGGAAAGAGAGGUCAUUACUAUUGUUCUAGUAGAGUAAGGCGCUGUGGUACGACAUAACACGUCAUGCUUUCCCUGACUUUGCAUCAAGACAGAAGAUCUGCUCUGGUCUACUGCCUGCGUCCUGGUAUUUAUCCCUGCUAUUAUCCCCUUGCAUGGAGCUUUCAACUAAGGGUAGAAAAGUCACCCAGUGCCAAGAUGUUACCCAGCACACGUUAGUAGGACAUCAUGUUAAGUGAAGAGUGAAACAGGAGGUACAGCAGGUACAGACACCUAACUUCCAAGGACUCUUGAAAUCAGAGAGGAUGAUAAAGGCUCCAGUAUCCUCCUUCAUCUUGGGAUGCAUUUUGCUGCCCUUCUCAGACUAAUGUGAUGUGAAUCCAUUACACAGCUACUUUUACCUGGCAGGAACGGACGAACAGCAAGGUACCCAAGCAAAGCCAGCACACCCAGGAAAGGCAAUAACCGCAGCCAUUCUGAAACUGAAGACAAGCGGAAUUUAGACUGGCUCUCGGCACCGCUUCAGCCUAGUGCAGCAUCAGCUAUUCUCAAACGCUUUGGACUUCAGGUAGGGAACAGGACUGCAGAGUCAGCAGGGCUGAAGGCAGGUGAGACUCC